GACGAGCCUCACAAACGUUAUUCGGAAUUACUGGGCUUAAAGGGUGCGUAGGCGGCGUAGAAAGUUGGGUGUGAAAUCCCUCGGCUCAACCGAGGAACUGCGCCCAAAACUACUAUGCUCGAGGGAGAUAGAGGAAUGCGGAACUUAGGGUGGAGCGGUGAAAUGCGUUGAUAUCCUAGGGAACACCGGUGGCGAAAGCGGCAUUCUGGAUCUCUUCUGACGCUGAUGCACGAAAGCCAGGGGAGCAAACGGG
rnacentral:rRNA from 1 species